AUUGUGGUGUUCUUCAUUUUCUGUACAGAGGAUUAAGCUGAAAAAGAAUUGUUCCUUUCUUUCCUUUUAAAAUUGCUUUUCCAAUGUUUUAUAUUUAUACUUUUCAAAUGAAAAAAAAUCAUGAAAAAGAGUGUUAUUUAGCAUUAGUGGAUAAUUCUGUUCACAGAUUGUUGUGAAUCUCUAAUUGUCUGCUUUUGGAAGGGAGACUUUCUGUCAAAUAGUGUAAAAGGAUAUAAGCUGAAUUCUAACUUGGGGUUUUAAUUGAGAAGGAUGAUUUUGAAAGAUUGUGAAAAUCAUAGGAGGUUGAGAGGCAAGAUAGCCAUGUGGAUCUGUCAGGGUUGUAUGAAGCUAAAAUAUUUCUUAGUUUAAGAAACUCAGGCAGAAAACUUCAUUAUGUAUUCAUUUCAACAGCAGCAGUGUUAUUACAGCUAGGAGAGGCCUAAUGGUGCCAGUGGCAUAAAGCAUCAAGCUUUUGUCCUGAACUGCUUUAUGUCUCACAACCGUACAGAUGCUGCUUCACAACUUCUCUGAGGCCAUAAACCAGUGCUCUGAGUUGGCCAUAGUUUUUCUAGCACAUAAAUGACUUUUUCAGUAUACAGAUGUUCCCAUAUGGAAAGAAGUUACAUAUAGACAGAACCAGAAUUUAAUGUGAUGUUAGUCAUAAAUACCCUGUGAUACCACAUGUUGCAAGUCUGUGGUUUUCAAAAUAGAUUGCAGCACUGAGGUUUGUGAAUUCAGGAUAUCAUCUGUGCAUAACAUUUUGUUACUUAGUUUUUGAACAGUUGUAGUGGCAAUAAAUCCCAGCAACAUCUUUAUCAGUGAGAUGCUAUAAUGUUAAGUGGUCCAUGAAUCGUUGGAAGAAGCACAUCAGUAGUCUGAUAAUGCACCAUUUGGCAUUGUAUUCCAGAGAAGAAAAUGAGUUAGACAUUAUUGGUUUUCAUUUUCUGCAGUUCUCUAUUUCAGAAGGUGGACAAUUUGUAUUUGCACUGUGAAGAGGUAGAACAGAACAAAUGUUAGAAAUGUAUUUCUGUUAGCAUUUCAGUGCAUCUUUUAAAAAUUAAUUACAGCUUCUUUUAAGGACUCUGAAAGGCAUGAUUCUUUGCUUCUUCCUGUUACUGUAAAAUUCUUUGUUACGCUUUCAGGAACACAGUUACUUUUAACAUCUUGUUCCACCUUAAACCAAAGGCCGCAAUCCUGAAAGACUGACACCUACGAUGAACUGUCUUAGUGAAGCCAGUGAUACCACUCGUCUUUAUGGCACCAUACUUGUCUGCCUCUUCUGCCUCUUUUCCAGGCGUAUAAAAUGCAUUUCAAGUGCUAAUCUAAUCUGAAAAACUGAAUUGUGAACUCUAUUGGAUUAAACGCAAUCCCUCAAAGGCUACUGCGUAUCCUGGUCACUGCAGUGACGGUUGUUAUGGUGCUUUAUAAGACAAAUGAUGCUGUCUUUCCUGCCCUGUUUUACAUACUACUGCUAUUAGGAGUACUUGAUAAUUUUAA
ensembl:lncRNA